rnacentral:misc_RNA from 1 species
GAUGAAGAACGCAGCGAAAUGCGAUAAGUAAUGUGAAUUGCAGAAUUCAGUGAAUCAUCGAAUCUUUGAACGCACAUUGCGCCCGCCAGCACUCUGGCGGGCAUGCCUGUUCGAGCGUCAUUUCAACCAUCAAGCCUCCAGGGGCUUGUGCUGGGGCCCUGCGGCUGCCCGCAGGCCCUGAAAACCAGUGGCGGGCUCGCUAGUCACACCGAGCGCAGUAGCACAUCUCGCUCAGGGCGUGCGGCGGGCUCCUGCCGUGAAACCCCCCACUGUAACCCCAAAGGUUGACCUCGGAUCAGGUAGGAAUACCCGCUGAACUUAAGCAUAUCAAUAAGCGGAGGA